rnacentral:lncRNA from 13 species
CUUUUUUGUUGCUACUUCCCACACUGAAUUCUUGUUUUACUGAAUUUUCUUACUAUAAAAAUAAAGCAUGAUGGUAGUUUUAAAAACAAAACAGGAGUAUUGGAGAAGUACAGACCCCACUCCCAAUCCUUAUCUCCUUUCUGGCACUCUGCCCCUUAGCUAUACUGGAACAGGUAAUCAACUGCAGUGAAAAUCCUGGAGGCUGAGGAACUAGAGGUGGAGCAAGGGAAGAGUGUCCAGUAGCCCAGAAAAGGAUGAAACAAUUCCCCAACAAAAAAGUAGAAAGCGAACAUUUUCAAUAGCCCUCAGAGAAGAUGCAGCCCCUCCGCAGUAACCACAGAAAGGCAAUUUCUGAAAGCAGGGAGAAGGGGCUACUUUGGGCCUCCAGGACUACAAAGACAAAAAAAAGGAGUGACGGGACCUGAUGUGGUGGGGUGAGAUGGGAGUGAGGGUAAAGGAAGGGGCUCGUACUCUUAGUGGGAGUGGAAACUGGGGACCCAAGCUUACUGGUGAUGCAAACCUCACGUGACCAGGAGCUGACGUGGGCAAAGGUACUUAAAGCCCUGACCGCCGUUCUCCGUCCUCCUCUGGGUACCAACUCUAUUGCGCAGCUCGCUGCCCUGUGAUUAACCUAGGCGAGGAGGAGGAGAAGAAAACAUCCCCAGAUCCGGGCAGGCCCGACCCCACAUCCAGUCCUGUGUUGUGAGAAGAGGGAAGAGAAAUAAACGUGGCAGCGGCACAGACUGCUUUCCAGACACCUCCGGCCCACACAGCUGUUCACCCCCGUCUUUUCAGUCCUGGAAAAGGAAUUCGGGUCUGUCUUCCUUUUGGCCUCUGUGAAACUACAGCUACAGUGGGAAAAAGCAAAGCAAUCUUGAUCCCAGGAGGUUGGUAUGUGGGUGAGCACCAUCUAGGGACCUUGGGGGUAGGGGUGGGCGUCAUAGCCAAAUCUAAGAUCACUACUGUUUUUCCAGCUCUCCACCAGCUUUGCGGAUGUCUGUACUGUCUCUUGUCCCCUCAUUUAGAUGCUGGGAAGUUGUAGGCAUUGAUAGGGCAGGCUAAGGUUGAAGAUAUAGAUAUAAAACGUUAAACUAGGUCUGUGAAUCGGCAAACGCAGGCCUUGAUACCCGUGUCUCGGUGCUAGCCCACCCACCAAGCAUUGUGUCCCUAAACUCUUCCCUAAGUAGAACUGGUUAGACACGAAGUGAACCAGAGCCCUAUGCUUCAUUUUUAUCCUUUACCCCUAGGCCCUGCUUAAGCCUCAGCAGAACUUGUAAGCCUAAACUGAAGAGCCUCACCCGGAGGAGCAGGCAUCCCUUAACCUUAACCAAGCCAAUUCCACCCUCUGGAUCAG